rnacentral:lncRNA from 1 species
UCGAGACUACUGCUACCCUGAGCAUCUUUCGUCUCAUGAGGAAGUGGAGGCUGAAUUAUAGUUCCACAGCAUCGGGAGCCAGAAGCGAGGUGGGAAUCCAAGUCUUCCGGAUUCCCAGCUCCGUGAUUCGUGCCUGUCACAAAUUUGGGACCAAAAGCCACCUGUCUGUGGGAUUAACAACAGUCGAGGCUAUGACUGACAUCGUGCCCUAGCGAGUGCACAGGUCUGGCCAGCUGGGCGGCUGGACCUGGCUCUCUCGCCUUGGGUCCGUUCAGCCCAUUUUGUGGAUGGAUCAGGUGAAGUGUGGCUCCUGGGGCUGCUGGCUGCUUUCCAGUGUGCGGUUGCCAAGCAUGUGAAUGAGGCUUUCCUGAGCCACAGCUUCCAUGGCGCAUGCCGGAGGAACCCUCGCAUGGAACCUAAGGGCGCCAGAGGCGGAGUUGGAGGCGUCUGAUUGUAUUUACAUUUGUUGCAAUUUGAAGAAAUGUAGUUAGAAGUCCAUCUGCAGAGAGAUUAUGACCAUCGCUUCUGUCUGACCAAGGUCUGUUUUCCUGAUCGGUUGGAUGCCUCAGCGUGCAUUCCCAGGACUUUAUGAGAUGAUCCACUGAAGGAUUUCAGCAAGAACAUUCUGGAGUGUCAACUGAUACGUUUUUCAGUCUCAGCUUGCUCACUGUUUGAGUAGUGUCACAUGUACAUGCGUGUUAUUAGAGGCGAAUGCACGUUUUUGUUACUGAGAGAGUGGCCCUAGAGCAGAUGCCAGCGAACUGCAGCCCACAGCCCGAAUCUAGCCUGCCGCCUCUUUUCAUGUGGCUCACAAGCUAGUCAUAGUAU